rnacentral:rRNA from 1 species
GAUGAACGCUGGCGGCGUGCCUAAUACAUGCUAGUCGAACGAAACUUCUUUAUCACCGAGUGCUUGCACUCACCGAUAAAGAGUUGAGUGGCGAACGGGUGAGUAACACGUGGGCAACCUGCCCAAAAGAGGGGGAUAACACUUGGAAACAGGUGCUAAUACCGCAUAACCAUAGUUACCGCAUGGUAACUCUGUAAAAGGUGGCUAUACUACCGCUUUUGGAUGGGCCCGCGGCGCAUUAGCUAGUUGGUAGGGUAAAGGCUUACCAAGGCAAUGAUGCGUAGCCGAAUUGAGAGGUUGAUCGGCCACAUUGGGACUGAGACACGGCCCAAACUCCUACGGGAGGCAGCAGUAGGGAAUCUUCCACAAUGGGCGAAAGCCUGAUGGAGCAACGCCGCGUGGGUGAAGAAGGUCUUCGGAUCGUAAAACCCUGUUGUUAGAGAAGAAAGUGCGUGAGAGUAACUGUUCACGUUUCGACGGUAUCUAACCAGAAAGCCACUGCUCACUACGUG